GAUGAAGAACGCAGCGAAAUGCGAUAAGUAAUGUGAAUUGCAGAAUUCAGUGAAUCAUCGAAUCUUUGAACGCACCUUGCGCCCUUUGGCUAUUCUGAAGGGCAUGCCUGUUUGAGUAUCGUGAACACCUCAACUCUCAUGGUCUGCCAUGAUGAGCUUGGACUUUGGGGGUCUUGCUGGCCUACUGUCAGCUCCUCUCAAAUGAAUCAGCUUACCAGUGUUUGGUGGCACCACAGGUGUGAUAACUAUCUACGCUUGUGGUUUUCUGCCAGGUAACCUCCAGUGAUGGAGGUUCGCUGGAGCUCACAAAUGUCUCUCCUCAGCGAGGACAGCCCUUUGAAUGUUUGAUCUCAAAUCAGGUAGGACUACCCGCUGAACUUAAGCAUAUCAAUAAGCGGAGGA
rnacentral:misc_RNA from 1 species